rnacentral:rRNA from 1 species
UACGUAGGGUGCAGGCGUUAAUCGGAAUUACUGGGCGUAAAGCGUGCGCAGGCGGUCUGCUAAGAGAGAUGUGAAAUCCCCCGGCUUAACCUGGGAACUGCGUCUGAUACUGGAAGGCUUGAGUAUGGGAGAGGGAUGUAGAAUUCCAGGUGUAGCGGUGAAAUGCGUAGAUAUCUGGAGGAACACCGGUGGCGAAGGCGGCAUCCUGGACCAAUAUUGACGCUGAGGAGCGAAAGCUAGGGGAGCAAACGGG